rfam:Pteropus alecto contig106859, whole genome shotgun sequence.
GGCUCCACAGUGUAGUGGUUAGCAUGUCUGCUUUACACACAGAAGGUCCUGGGUUCGCACCCAGGUGGAGCCA